AAUAAAUGGACAGGGUGGUAGUGCUUCCUCUGUGCAGAUAAUACUCAAGACCUCUUACAAGGAAAAUCUUUGUGUAGAGGCUUUCCACAUCUAAGGUGGCCAGAAUAACAUCAUUGGGUAACUUUUUUAAUGUUGAUAUCUAUCUUUAAUAUAUGAUGGAAGCGUCUGAACAGAUGGUUUAAGAAAGUGAUGAAAACAGUUCAUUAAUAGAUAAUGGCUCUAGUAGAGCAUCACUGAUGGCUACAAUAGGUUGGCCUUUGGGUUUAACCCCCCAAGUGGAGCAACUGUUGCAGGCAGCAUGAUAGAACUGUAAAGCUGUGACUCCCUCUCAUACACUCACUCAUUGCCUAGAUCAGAGCUCAUUAGAUGCUCACAUUUGGCUGCUUCAACUCAGUUUUGAUUAUACUGAAUUCUCAGUAAGUUAUUAGAAUUACACAAUUUGUGAUUAUGUCUUACAUUUAACUCACUGCGCAUCAGAACACUUACAAUAAAUUAGGUAGCCUGUAUUCCAAUUAUUUUUAACUACCUAAAACAAGUGCAUAUAACCUUAAACAUGUGGAGCUUCUGGUGCUGAUUUCUAGCGUUGUAAUACCAGUGCAAGUCAGUUACAGGUUGCUUAAUUGCUUGUUAAGCUGCAGCCAAUCACAACACUGCCUCCCCUCCCCCACUCAUUUGCAGCCUCUUUGAUCUAUGCUUGAGAUUAGGUGAGUGCCAUGAGUAACAGAUUUAAUAAUAUAAUCAUAAAUAAACAUAAAUCAUGUUUGAGUAGCGUUAAUGAAAUAUUCUGUGAUGUCGCCUCAGUGACUUUAAUUGGGGAGACUUGAAGUGUUGUUGUAGUGUUUGCCAACAUUAGCCAACUAUGUAGCAAGCUAACUCAGCAAAAAUGCUGCAAAUGACACCUUUUGAUAGAAACAUUUCUGCUGUUAAAGGUUUUAAUAAAUGCAGGACUGCACUCACGCCGAAUGUUUCAGCAGCUCAGUUUAAAAUAUUUAUUGACGGCAGUGAAAUCUUUGUCAAGUGACAGCAAGGUCUCUGUAUAAGACGUGACACCUUGCUGACAUCAGCACGUGAGUUUAAAAACUGUGCUGUUCAAGCUUUCCCCCCUGGCCGGGCCCCCGACUAUGAAUAGACACCGACUGUAGCUACAUGGUGGUGAUUCUGUCGUUUGUCAGCCCUCAGUUGUAGAUCCAUUUGGUAAAAUUUGUGGGGCAAAGAGCUGAAUUUUUCCAUAUAAAUCAGAUUUAUCUGAGAUGCUUUUGCGUUCAGCCAAAACUGUUUCCUUUCAGUUUGGUUGUGGCACACCGUGAUGAAGGAUUAAUAGCGCUUUAUUAGGCUGGGACUCUGCCUUUCUGCAGACGAGCGCCGUCUUAAGUUUAACAUAGUACAUCUUAUGAUUAAAGCAGGGGAGGAUGUCCUAAAUGGCCACCUUGCAUGUAUUAUAUUUAAUAGGCCUAUCUUAAUAUUAAUUGCCAUUAAUUUACCUCUUGCCAUUAGUUAUGGAUAUGUUAUGGGUUUUUUCCCGGCGACAUUGACUAUCUGGGCUUCUGGCUUUGCAUUUCCGGGUCUCUCAUUUUCUGUCACCUUUUCAGGCUGAGGAUGUUCAGACAAAAUACUCCCAUCAGAGGACCGAGGAGAAGGGAGCAAACAAGACUUGCAACUUUCAGAGUUGGUCUCCUCCUCCAUCCUGAUAUGGAAACAUUCCACCCACAAAAAGGAUGCAGAAGAGGUCUCGAACUCUGGCCAAAACCUGGACCAAGAUGAUAUGGGCACCCAUUUUAAGCUCUUUCUAGGCUUGUUGUAUAUUUCAUAAUGGCAUAUUGCAUCUUUGGCCAACAAAUGGGGCGUUCUGGUAUUUUGAAGGAUGUACAGGAGGUCCAUACUUCACAAAACUGCCUGGAGAGACCUAAUACAAUGGCGAGGGAUGAUUUACAUGAGUGGCGUGCACUUCACAAGACAAGAUGAGGAAUACAUACAAAGUCUGCAAACUGAGCAGGAAAGGGACACUCUGGUUCCUGAAGAGACCCCUCCUCAAAACAUCUGAUCUGGGUCCUCUGAUACCACUGCUGGCUUCCUGGAUUUGAGUCAUGUCAAAGACACUACCGAACCAGAUCUGAAAACCUUACUGACAACUCUGGCAUCAAAAGUCUGGAUUGGAGAGACGCCCAGCAGUAAUAUGAUCAAUGUAUGCAGAGAAAACAUAAUGGAUGGUGCCAUGCGAGCCUUUACAAGAAGGAGUUUCAAUCCAGAGGCCAAAUUAAGCGUCAUAUUUAUGGAUGACUUCAUGCAAGCAGAAGGUUCAGUGGAUGAGGGGGGCCCUACACGGGGGUUUUUCCGACUGCUCUCAGAGAUAGCAGCCUAUUUACAGGGCCACAGUAAGAACCUGUCCCUGGACAGCCACGCAUUACACAGAGGUCUCUACAGAACCUAUGGAGUUAUGAUGGCUGUGGCGCUGCUGCAUGGAGGAGUGUUGCCUUCUCUUUCCGGAGAGGCUCUACCAAAACCUCUGCUCUACACCCACAUUACCACCCGCUCUCAAAGAGGUAGCAGAUCCAGAUUUGCAGUGGAAACUCAGAAAGAUCAGUGAGGCCGGUGAUAUAACAGAGGCUAGAGCUGCCAUUGAGGAAGCUGCAGAGAGCCUGUCCUUGUUGGGGUCCCUGAGGCGUCUCACCACCGUGGAGGGACGGGACCGGCUGGUUCAGGCUGCCACAAGUUUCUACGUGGAAGGACAAAAGAAGCCUCCCAACAAGCUACAGUGCUUGGACCAGAUUUGACUUAUGUUUUGAGGAAAAUGCUUGGACUUUCUGAAGGACUGAACACACUUGGUCUCCUGGACCUGAUGAAAAUUCACGCCAGCAUCUUGAAGGAGGUGUUUUCUUCAUCUGAGAGGCCUCUAAAGGCCACAGACUUGAUCUCCCUGUUCCAAGUGACACUGUCCCCUCCUGGAAGCAACCGGUGGCGCCUGGAGAAGAGAGUGGAAGGGUACUGGAGAGACUUUCUUCUAGAUGUGGAGGAUGGUGUGUUUGAGGUCACAAUGGAGCAAAUUUUGGUGUUUGCCUCUGGAGCCGACAGAGUACCCGCUCUUGGUUUUUCUCCUCACCCAACGCUGAACUUCAUUCACGACGCAGGGCGGAAGUACCCUGAAGCUAACACCUGUCUUGUAAAUUUGAAACUUCCUAUCCAUGACACUUACAGACAGUUCGCCAAGUUUAUGUGCGAUGGCAUUAUUCACGCUCCCACUUCUGGUCUGGCUUAAAGUCACUGACAGCUAUUUUCAUAAUGGCUGAACUUUGAAUGUCCUGCCUGCUAACGUUGUUCUCAGGUGAUGAUGUUAAGAUGAUUUGAGACUAGAGACCCUUGAGAGGAGCAUCAGAUGGGCAAGAGGGAGGAUUCUCCAGUUGGACGAUGCAGAUGAACUUCUUCCAUUAGUGACUCAAGAAGCAUUAGAGACCUCCGGGUAUCAAGCCCCAUUGGUCCGGACAGGUGAUUUUGGACGAUCCAGCUACCUAAUCACUGAAGAACACCUGAGAUUCCUGCUUUCAUGUGGAUUUGGAACUACGCAAAUUGCUGAAAUCCUGGAUGUAUCAGUCAGUACAGUUAAACGAAGAUUGAGGCGCUUCAACUUGCCCUACCUGAUGAGGUCUGCACGUCUUUCUAAUGCAGAACUUGAUGAAGUCAAGUCAAGCUGCAGUCGGUUGGAGAAAAUGAAGAGAUGGGAGCAAAUGCUGUUUUGGCCAGACUGGCUGCUAUGGCUGUUUGAGUGCAGAGGAGAAGAGUGAGAGAGAGUUUGAUUGGAGUGAAUCCAGAGCGUUGUCUCACCGACUGCACCGGAGAACCUACAGUGCUGCAGGACCCAACUCGCUGUGGCACAUAGAUGGGAACCACAAACUCAUCAGAUGGAGAAUAGUGAUCCAUGGCGGAAUCUGUGGCUUCAGCAGGCCGGUUGUGUUUUUGCAGGCUUCAGAUAAUAACAGAAGUUGCACAGUGUUUGACCAGUUUGUUCAAGCCACUGCUAGGUAUGGAGUCUCGAAUAAGGUGUGACCAUGGGGGAGAAAACAAUGCUGUCUGCUUGUUCAUGAACAUUUACCGUGGAUUAGAAAGAGGAAGUGCCAUCCGGGGCAGAAGUGUCCAUAACCAGCGGAUGGAGAGGCUUUGGGGAGAUCUCUGGAGAGGAUUAUACAACAGUUUCUUGCCAGUCUCUUUGCCAACUCUGGAUUCCCUAGCUUACCUCCCCUCUCAAGGACGGUAUCCUGCACUCUAAUCCAGGGGAUAAUGAAUCCCUGAGGAAUGAGAGGGUUAGAUGCCGUGAUAAAACUUUAUGUCCCUGCCACCUUUUCAUUUCUUUGCAGCUCACAGAUGUGUUUUUGUCAGUGUAGUUACUGGGUCAGUUGCAGAACACAGGCCCUCCUCCAGCUGAUAGAGAAGAUCUCUCCUCUCCCAUCUGUCAGUAUGAAAUGUGAAUGGCUGCAAGACAAAAUGGAUAAACUGACAGCACGUGUGUCUGAUUGCAGGUUUAGAGACAAAAACUGCUGUGUGCAGUGUCCAGUGCACAGAGAGAACUUCGCAGUGGGAGAGCCAUUCAGACAGCUGCCCUGUAACCACUUCUUUCAUUCAGAAUGGAUAGUACCAUGGCUGGAACUGAGGAGGUGUGCAGUGGCAACGGACCAGCAACGGACCCCUCGGCAACCGGUCCGGACCACAAGGACCGCGUGGACCACUAGUUCAUAUUUCUACAGACGAGACAGGAGGAUGCUGGGAGAAAAGAGAGGCGGGAAGCUGAACUACCUGGUGAGGUCUGAAAAUGAAUCUGUGUCUGAUAGAUGAUUCCAGCCGUCGUCGUACUUGAAACAAGUUAGCAUAGCAUCGCCCUGACUGAGCAGAACUCCAUUUAGAAAACAAGCGUUUUAAAAGAUGUUUGCUUGUCAUCUUGAAGACAGACCUGACAGAGCAGGAAUUCAUAUGUUCAACAAAUCAGCAUCAUUUUGAUCAGUUUAUUGAAAUGAAAUCACAGCAAAAUGUUUAUUUUGGCUUCAAACCGCUGCAGGAAACCAGAUUAUUGAAUUAGAUCUGAGUGCAUAAACAGCACUUUAAUAACAUAACAUCUUUGAGUCCAACAGAUUACUGUAAGCUUCUGAUUUCCUCUGGUAACAGUUCAUGACCUGUGUACUGGAACAUAAUGACUGCUAGUAUAUUGUGCUGGAGUCUACUGGUCCCUGGGUUGGUUUUACUAUGUUGUCUGUUUUGUGUUGACUUGUACUGACUACAGAUGAAAAACAGCCUUCUGGCUAAAUCUGGCAUAUUUACUGAAAUGUUUCAGCUUCAAUGAAAAAUCCAGCUUUAUCUUUGAGGAAUGAACAGAGACGAGAAAAACCAGAACCUGGAGGAAAGAGACUAAAGAAGUGGAGUUUCUGCUGAGUUCUGAGAUCAACGUCUGAAGGACUCGGUACGCUUCAAACAAACUAGAUCACGUGACGUCUGUUUAUACCUGCUCCAAAUGUCAACGCUGGAAGACAAAGAUCACAGAGUCCAGAUGUUUCAGAGGCCUGAACCAGGUCCACUGGAGGCCUCUGGGUUUAACUGCUGUGCUUUGAUCCAGUGUGUAGUGAGGAGGAAGAGGCGCUGAAUAAACAGGGACUACAAAAACACUACAGACCACAUUUGUGUUCAGGCUGAACAAACCUUUGUUCUUGUGAAAGUCUGACUGAAUCAAAUCUUAUUGUGUCUUCAUUCUCUGAGUCCAUUUUAACAGCUGGCUGCUUUCUGUUCUGUCACUAAAUGUGUUGCUUUCUGUUUAACUUGCAUCCUGCCAGGGUUGGUGCUGGAAUAAUCUGAGCUGGACACUUGAGACUUGGACUCGAGUCCUUUUCAAUGUUCUCAUUAAAGGAGUCGACACAAAGA